AACUGCGCUGGAGCCGCGGAGUAACUGCGAGUGCGACCGAAGCCGUGUCGCUUGUCUUCGUAUUACCUGACAGCGCCGGACCUCUGCCUGUCCAGGUGUGCAAAUGAGCCGCGCCUGGGGACCGGCAAGUAAUCCGGUUCCCCACGCGAGGCAGGUAACGUCAGUGGACCGGGAGCAGGGCGCAGGGACCGCGCUACGGGGCAGCCGGGUGGCUAACCUGAGCUAGCGGCUAACGCAUCUAGCCGCCGUGUAGCUUCCGUAGCUACAGGUCGGUCUCGUCGUGUUCGGACCCGUCUCACCUGGCAGUCAAGACUGAACUUUGAUCCACCGUGGAUGAGAAGUCCUUGGAGUGCUCUGAAGGAAAGGCAGAUACGAACAUCUGGGAAUUCCUCAGCAACUGCGCAAGCUUCAUCUGCUGAGGAAGAUCGUGCGAUACGAUCAAAAGCUACAGAACAGCUUCUGGAAAUGGGCCUUGGGCCCAGAUUGUUUCUCAACCGGAAAAAUGAAAGAUUGAAGCAGGUGUUUUCCCCAAACCUGGAUCCCAUCUUGGGCCUCAAAGAGAUUUCGAGGCUUAAAUCCACCAAACAUGUCAAAAAAAAGGCUCAUGUUCAUAUUAAAUGUGUAAAAUCAGAGACGUUUGUGUGGAGAUCGGUGCUGCAGCAGCACGAAAGCAAAGUCUCACUGUUUUAAAGUGCAGAGUGAACUGUAACUGAGGUGCGUGAUUUUCAAUUAUGGUGCUUUCUGAAACUCACAACAUCUAAUGAUAAAUAACCAACUAAUAAAAGAGAAUAACAGUUAA